AGGGAAGGGAGGUGGCGCAAGCAACGCAAACCAAUGGGAAGUGGAUCUCGGGGAGCAAGCGGGACCCGGAGAGGGAAGGAAAGGCCUGGCGGAGAGGGCAGGGCAGAGAACUAGGGGAAAGGUCGUGCACUGGAGAGAAGCGCGCCCGGAGUUUAUAGAUCCUCCCAGUCCUAUAAACGCUUCCCGGUAUCCCCGGAUCUGCUCUCCCUCUCCAGAUCCCCCACUUCUUCCCGGCCUCUCCAAGUCGCGGUUCAUGUCCUUAUGUCCUUCCUGAGCCUCUAUGCAACCCCGUGCCUGCGUCCGCACGACCCCCCAGGAAAGCACGCGGAGCCGCAGCGCUAAAAAAGCCGUUCCUUUAUUCUGCCCCAGGCAGGCUGCAGUCACAGACACACGGGGAAUCCACUGAUGGCGUCGGUGCUCUGCAUGAUCAUGUCUGCCAGCAGAAAGCAGAAGCCUGGGGGGACGGGGGCGCGGGGCGGGGAGAGGAAGGUGGGCCCUGGGGCGGAUGGCCGGGAGGGCCCCGGGGACUGGGGUUUGGGGCUCCAAGGGGGUCUCUGCCGGGUCUGCGGGCGUCGUUAGUGUGUUGGGGAGUCCCUGAGAGGUCCCCGGGGUUUCCUGGGAGGGCAGCUGGGGAGCCUCUAGGGUGAGGGUCUUCUGGGCAGUCUCCUCCACCCUCUUCCCGCUGUCCAGGUUACCCGCGAGAAUUGAGAAGGGUAAGGCCAGCCACCCAGAAAAAUAGGACCAAGACAAGAAGACGUUGUUCUUCCACGCAUUCUUCACCGUGUAGCCUAUCAAGGCGGUCAGCAGCAGCAGUCCUGGGCCCCGCCCAGCCGCAAGAUGAGCUAGCUGGGCCUAGUCGGGCUGCACCCAGGCCACGCCCCUUCAGACCCGCCCCCUUCCAUCAGACCACGCCUAUCGCCUCUCUGCCCGCCUCUGGCCCAGGCCCCUUCCUGCGCCUCCCGCGCUGAACUCUGUCUCGAGCCCCGCCCACCUCUCUCGGCUUCUUCCAGCCCCGCCCCUCGGAUCCCGGCCAAGUACCUCAAGCCCCUCCUCUGGUGACCAGACCCCUCCAUCACCCAGGGCCCGCCCCUGCCUGCCGGCCUGGGGCGGGCUGCCGUCUCACCGCCGAGGAAGAGGAAGGCGCUCGUGGUCUGGCCCCGCAGCGACUCGCCCUCGUGGCACCGAAUCCGCAGUCCCAUCACCAUGCCCACCACGCCGACACCCACCGCCAGCACCAUGCACGCCCCAGUCACCGCCAGCGUGGCUGGGGAGAGCGGGCGCAUCAGCUCCCGCGGGCGUGGCUGGGGAGAGCGGGCACCGCCCCAGUCGCUACGGGUUCGGCCGCAACCGGAAGCUCUCCUGUCUCCUGCCCCCAACCCGGUGUGUGGCCAGGAGCCGAGCUCCCCCCGACCAGGAGUCAGGCGUUUGGACGGAGACUUGGAGGUCACAUCAGGACCUGCGGUUACUGCCGCUACCGGGACGGGGAGGGGGUCGGGGACAAGCCCACAAGUCGAGGGGCGGGGUUCGUGGCGGCCUCGGCCGACCAGGGACAGCUGCAACUGAGCCCGGAGUGGAAGGGGUGGCGUCUCGCCAUGGGCCCAGCUGUGUGUCCCGAACCCUGGGUAUCUGAAAUGCCCUCUGACAUCUGGGCGGGCGGAGCCUCACUCUGGCAGGGGAUGCUGGAGCAGAUGCCAUGGUUGCAUUCCUGCCACAGGCCACUGUGGCCCUCUUGUUGGCGGGUCCAGUAGUUGGUGGCCGUGGAGAGCACCAUGAGGACGUUGGCCACGAGGCUGAGCAGAAUGCCCCCACUCUGGAGCCUCCGUUUCACCCCCAUGCCACUGAGGCUGCAGCCAGGGGCCACAAAGGCAGGAUGGCCCAGGCCCUUCCUACCCGGAGGCCCCCAGCUUAGGAGCCCGCUUCCUCCACACUCUUCCCCUAGUACUCCUUCCUGAGGUCCUUGCUUCUGGGGACCUGAAGACCCCCCUCCCUCAAUAACCCUGCCUGAGGACCCACAACCUCCUCCCUCCAGACCUCGUUUCCCUUACUGGGGACCUUGAGACUUCCCCUGAGAGGCCUCUGAGACCUUCACAGGCUUUGCUUUGAAGAACCUGUCUUCCCAGAGACCUCCCCCAACAGCAGAACACCCCUUCAGCCUGUUCAAUGUCCUCCCCAGACACCCCUCCACACAUGCCCACCUAAGUGACUCACACUCAGCACCCCAGGGCUCCUUAGACACAGAGACCAGAGAGAUGGGGGGAGGGAGGCUGGGUCUCUGUGAGGCUGGGGAUUCCAGAACCCCCUCCCCCAGUGGCUGUUUAAAGGGAUAAUCACUCUCCCCAGCACCAUACACAUACACCCCCGCAGCUCUCAACUGAGUGACUGCUUAGAUUCAGACCGCAGCUUUGGGGGCCAUUACAUGGUAGGCCAAGUCCUUCUUUUAUCAUUAUUUUUUGAGACAGAGUCUUGCUCUGUCGCCCAGGCUGGAGUGCAGUGGCGCGAUCUCGGCUCACUGCAACCUCCACCUCCUGGGUUCAAGCAAUUCUUCUGCCUCAGCCUCACAAGUAGCUGGAACUGCAGGCACGCACUACCACAUCUGGCUAAUUUUUGUAUUUUUAGUAGAGAUGGGGUUUCACCAUAUUGGCUAGGGUGGUCUCGGACUCCUGACCUCGUGAUCUGCCUGCCUCAGCCUCCCAAAGUGCUGGGAUUACGGGCGUGAGCCAUCUCUCUCUCCCAGGCUGGAGUGCAGUGGCACCAUCACAACUCACUGCAGCCUUGAACUCCUGGGCUGAAGGAAACCUCCUGCCUCAGCCUCCCGAGUAGCUGGGACUACAGGCAUGUGCCACCACACCUGGCUAGUUUUCUUAAGAUUUUUUAUAGAGAUGGGGUCUUGCUAUGUUGCCCAAGCUGAUCUCAAACUCCUGGGCUCAAACGAUCCUCCUACCUCCGCCUCCUAAAAUGCUGACAUUAUGGGUGUGAGCCACCACUCCCAGCCCUUUCUUAGAAACUUUCCCUUGGCCGGGCGCGCAGUGGCUCACACCUGUAAUCCCAGCACUUUAGGAGGCCGAGACAGGCAGAUCACCUGAAGUCAGGGGUUUGAGAGAAGCCUGACCAACAUGGCAAAACCCCGUCUCUACUAAAAAUACAAAAAUUAGCCAGGCUAGCCGGGGGUGAUGGCGGGUGCCUAUAAUCCCAGCUACUUGGGAUGCGAGGCAGGAGAAUCACUUGAACCCGGGAGGUGGAGGUUGCAGUUAGCUGAGAUCGUGCCACUGCAUUCUAGCCUGGGCAACAGAGCAAGGCUCCAUCUCAAAAAAAAAAAAAACGACAAAA